rnacentral:rRNA from 1 species
GAUGAACGCUGGCGGCGUGCCUAAUACAUGCAAGUCGAGCGAACAGACGAGGAGCUUGCUCCUCUAACGUUAGCGGCGGACGGGUGAGUAACACGUGGAUAACCUACCUAUAAGACUGGGAUAACUUCGGGAAACCGGAGCUAAUACCGGAUAAUAUAUUGAACCGCAUGGUUCAAUAGUGAAAGACGGUUUUGCUGUCACUUAUAGAUGGAUCCGCGCCGCAUUAGCUAGUUGGUAAGGUAACAGCUUACCAAGGCAACGAUGCGUAGCCGACCUGAGAGGGUGAUCGGCCACACUGGAACUGAGACACGGUCCAGACUCCUACGGGAGGCAGCAGUAGGGAAUCUUCCGCAAUGGGCGAAAGCCUGACGGAGCAACGCCGCGUGAGUGAUGAAGGUCUUCGGAUCGUAAAACUCUGUUAUUAGGGAAGAACAAAUGUGUAAGUAACUAUGCACGUCUUGACGGUACCUAAUCAGAAAGCCACGGCUAACUACGUGCCAGCCGCCGCAGUAA